rnacentral:rRNA from 2 species
GCAGUCGACGAACUCUGGUAUUGAUUGGUGCUUGCAUCAUGAUUUACAUUUGAGUGAGUGGCGAACUGGUGAGUAACACGUGGGAAACCUGCCCAGAAGCGGGGGAUAACACCUGGAAACAGAUGCUAAUACCGCAUAACAACUUGGACCGCAUGGUCCGAGUUUGAAAGAUGGCUUCGGCUAUCACUUUUGGAUGGUCCCGCGGCGUAUUAGCUAGAUGGUGGGGUAACGGCUCACCAUGGCAAUGAUACGUAGCCGACCUGAGAGGGUAAUCGGCCACAUUGGGACUGAGACACGGCCCAAACUCCUACGGGAGGCAGCAGUAGGGAAUCUUCCACAAUGGACGAAAGUCUGAUGGAGCAACGCCGCGUGAGUGAAGAAGGGUUUCGGCUCGUAAAACUCUGUUGUUAAAGAAGAACAUAUCUGAGAGUAACUGUUCAGGUAUUGACGGUAUUUAACCAGAAAGCCACGGCUAACUACGUGCCAGCAGCCGCGGUAAUACGUAGGUGGCAAGCGUUGUCCGGAUUUAUUGGGCGUAAAGCGAGCGCAGGCGGUUUUUUAAGUCUGAUGUGAAAGCCUUCGGCUCAACCGAAGAAGUGCAUCGGAAACUGGGAAACUUGAGUGCAGAAGAGGACAGUGGAACUCCAUGUGUAGCGGUGAAAUGCGUAGAUAUAUGGAAGAACACCAGUGGCGAAGGCGGCUGUCUGGUCUGUAACUGACGCUGAGGCUCGAAAGUAUGGGUAGCAAACAGGAUUAGAUACCCUGGUAGUCCAUACCGUAAACGAUGAAUGCUAAGUGUUGGAGGGUUUCCGCCCUUCAGUGCUGCAGCUAACGCAUUAAGCAUUCCGCCUGGGGAGUACGGCCGCAAGGCUGAAACUCAAAGGAAUUGACGGGGGCCCGCACAAGCGGUGGAGCAUGUGGUUUAAUUCGAAGCUACGCGAAGAACCUUACCAGGUCUUGACAUACUAUGCAAAUCUAAGAGAUUAGACGUUCCCUUCGGGGACAUGGAUACAGGUGGUGCAUGGUUGUCGUCAGCUCGUGUCGUGAGAUGUUGGGUUAAGUCCCGCAACGAGCGCAACCCUUAUUAUCAGUUGCCAGCAUUAAGUUGGGCACUCUGGUGAGACUGCCGGUGACAAACCGGAGGAAGGUGGGGAUGACGUCAAAUCAUCAUGCCCCUUAUGACCUGGGCUACACACGUGCUACAAUGGAUGGUACAACGAGUUGCGAACUCGCGAGAGUAAGCUAAUCUCUUAAAGCCAUUCUCAGUUCGGAUUGUAGGCUGCAACUCGCCUACAUGAAGUCGGAAUCGCUAGUAAUCGCGGAUCAGCAUGCCGCGGUGAAUACGUUCCCGGGCCUUGUACACACCGCCCGUCACACCAUGAGAGUUUGUAACACCCAAAGUCGGUGGG